rnacentral:ncRNA from 1 species
CAGAGUAGAGGUUCGCGCGUAAAGUGUCCUUUGAACGGGGAGUUGUCAGAGGGACGAAGGCUGUGCCGCGGUGCUGACCUCGCAUCCCGCUGU